AUGAACGCUGGCGGCGUGCCUAAUACCUGCAAGUCGAGCGAACAGACGAGGAGCUUGCUCCUCUGACGUUAGCGGCGGACGGGUGAGUAACACGUGGAUAACCUACCUAUAAGACUGGGAUAACUUCGGGAAACCGGAGCUAAUACCGGAUAAUAUAUUGAACCGCAUGGUUCAAUAGUGAAAGACGGUUUUGCUGUCACUUAUAGAUGGAUCCGCGCCGCAUUAGCUAGUUGGUAAGGUAACGGCUUACCAAGGCAACGAUGCGUAGCCGACCUGAGAGGGUGAUCGGCCACACUGGAACUGAGACACGGUCCAGACUCCUACGGGAGGCAGCAGUAGGGAAUCUUCCGCAAUGGGCGGAAGCCUGACGGAGCAACGCCGCGUGAGUGAUGAAGGUCUUCGGAUCGUAAAACUCUGUUAUUAGGGAAGAACAAAUGUGUAAGUAACUAUGCACGUCUUGACGGUACCUAAUCAGAAAGCCACGGCUAACUACGUG
rnacentral:rRNA from 1 species